AGAAAAGAAGGGAGAAACCAAAAGGGAGGAGAGGGCAUCAAGAAAGCAGCAAAGGGAAAUCCCAGGAUUCAACAGAAAUUUUUGGUUGCCUGCUACAUGCCAGAUUCUUUUCUAGGUAAUGGAUAUAGCACAUUAGGUAAUAAGUGCUAAGAAGGAAAGUAAAGCAGAGUAAGAGACAAACAGUGACUGGUGCACUAAAGAGAUGCUAUUUUAAAUAAGGUCAUCUUGGAAAGCCUCAAUAAGGUAGAAUCGAGCAGAGACCUGAAUGAAGGGAGAGAAAGUGAGUGUGCAGAUAACACAAAGAAUAGCAUUCUGAGGAAAGGGAACAAGUAUGUGCAGAGGCCCUGAGGCAACAAUAUAGUUGGCAUGUUUGGGAAAUAGGAAGGAGGCCAGUUUAGCUGGACCAACUUGUUGGAGAGGAAAAAGUGGUUGAGGACUGGAUCAUAGUGGAGUAGGGAUAAGGGGUCACAUCUUUAAUGCUUUGGAGACCAUGGUAGUUGUUUGGAUUUUACUCUGAGUGAGAUAUGAAGCCAUUGGAGGGUUUAAGCAAAGGAGUGACAAGAUUUGACUUAUAUUUUUAAAGGAUUAUUCUGACUCAUUUGUGAAAAAUAGACUGUAAGAGGGUGAGGAGUUAAGUAGGAAGAUUAAUUAGAAUACUAUUUCAAUAGUCCAUGUGAAAGAUGAUACUUGCUUGGACAAGAGCAGUCAUGAUAAUAAAAGAGUGGUAAGGAAUGGUCAGAUCCUGGAUAUAUUUGAAGUUAGAGCCAAAGAUGAUUUGCAAAUGGAUUAGGUGCUCUGAUAGAUAUGGAGAUGUGCUGCCUUGAUCCCCCUUCCAGGAAAGACUUGAUGAACCUCAGGAAGUGUGGAGGACAGAAAUUCUCCAGCUGUCAGCACUUCAUCUGCAGCAGCUAUAGAAAACACUUUACCUGAGGUCACAUCUUCCCUAGAUCUGAGGACCGAACACAAUGGGGAUGUAAAACCCUUGCCAUUUCAGCCUAAUGCAUCACAUUAUGUCAGGCAAAACUCACUCCAGAGCUUCCUCCUUUGCAGCUUGACUUCUUCCUCUGCACAAUCUGCUUCUUCCCCUUCCCUUGACAAGUGCUCUGUGAUAAAUAUCUUGCAGCCCAAAUUCCAUCUCAGGAUCUUCAAAGAACAGAACGGUGACAGUUGGUCCCAGUAGUGGUCUAAGAUGCCCGUGAGGAACCCAUCACAUGUGGCACAUGGAACAUAAGGAGCCCCUGGCUCAAGGUGGCAGCUUUCACCAAUGGUAAAAUGAGAGUUCACCUGUGGAAGAGAAUGAACUAGUGAGUGCAGGAUAUCAGGUACUUGAGACUCAUGAAGGAACUCAUAGAGUUAAGAAUACCAGAAUUGGAUGGCUAAGUACCACUGAUGCUCUACAGAAAGUGGGCCUCUUUAGUUGCACACAAAGCUUGUCCAGAACUGAGUAGUCUGAGUGGCUGAACUGGCGAUUGUCCUAGGAGAAGAAAUAUUGGAAGAUCAACCACAGGAAGUCUGAAAUAGAGGCCUAUGGAUGGACAUAUUGGCACUGAGCGUGAGCAUGAACAGUGAAGGUCUUUGUAUCCCAUGUAACACCCACCAGAGAGCAUCCACUACUGAAGAGGCACUAAACAAUAAAGAAGACUGAAUAAAUUGCCCAGUUGACAUCAUCUGCCUCAGUCAUUGGCCAACUGGUGCUGGCCCUUGGGCAUAUGAAUGGAGUGUCCACUGGAGAAGGGAUGAAGACAGAGUGUGGGUUCAACUGAUCAAGGCUAAUUUAGCUUCUGCUGCUUCUGAAUGCCCAAACUGCCAGCAAUAGAGAGCAACACUGAGCUCCCGAUAUGACACCAUUCCUUGAGACCAAGUGUCAAGUUGGCUACGUUAGGCCCCUUCCAUCCUGGAGUGACCACCUGUUUCUUGUUACGGGAGUAGACACAUAUUCCAGAUAUGGGGUUGCUUUUCCUACCCAAAGAGCCUCAGCCAGUACCACCAUCUGAGUGUUAUGUAAUAUUAGAUUCACUAGCAUGAGAUCUCACAUAAUGUCACAUCAAACCAGGGAACCUGUUUUGCAAAAAAAGGAAGUGCAGGAGUGGACCCUUAUCCACAGGAUCCACUGAUAAUGUCACGUAUCUCACCACCCAGAAACUGCCAGCUUGAUAGGGCCUCGGAGCAACCUGCUGAAGAUACAGCUGAAUGCCAGUUCAGAGGCAAUACUCUGAAAGAGUGAGAUGCCAUACUCCAAGAUGUAUUAUAUGCAUUGGAUCAAAGAUAUUUGUAUGGCACUGUGCCUCCGUACAAAAAAUAUGGGUCUAGGAGCCAAGGGGUGAAAGCAGAAGUGUCCCUAGCCCUUACAAUCACUUCUAAGGACCCUUAAAGUGCUAUUUAUGUUUCCUGUCUUCACAACUCUGAACUCUGCAUAUUGAGAGGUCUUGGUCCCUAAAAGGGAUACACUUCUAAGAAAUAGAGCAAAAAUUCCAUUUAAAUAUAAGCUGCAGCUGCUACCUGGGUACUUUGGGCUCCUUGUGCCCAGAGACCAGCAGGCAAGAAAAGGGGACACCUUCUUGCCAGGGAUAAUUGACUCUGAUCAUCAGAAGGAGAUAGGGAUCCUGUUACACUCACCAUUAAGGUAGGAAAGAGUAAAUAUGGAGCCCACUUAACAAAUUGUGAAUAUAAAGAGAAGGUAUAGCAAUUCCAUCCUGAUAAAUGCAUGAUGGCAGAAACUCAGACCCCUCAGGGAAUGAGGGUCUAGGUCACAACACCAGGUAAGCCAACAACAGCAGCAGAGGUGGUAGUGGAGGGUGAGGGAAAUCUAGAAUUGAUAGUGGAGGGGGGAGAUGACAAGUAUUCUACAGCCUUACUACAGCAGUAGGGACUGUAGUUUGUCCCACUAACCUCUAUCUUCUAAGUUCCCCUCAGGAAAAGAGGCCCCUUCACUCUUGUAGGAGCUGCUUCCUAAACAUACAUGGAGAAAUAGACCUAUAUGAAGCAAGGGGUGGAUUGUGGUAAGCAAAGAGAUAUGCUGUCCAGAUUCAUCUUCAAGAAAGGGCUUGCUGAAUGAGGUCAGCAACCUCCAGCUUCCAGUUUCUUCACAGUCUAGCUCAACUGCAGAGAGCCACUUUGCUUCAGGUCCUGCCCUUCCUACAUUUGGUGACUGAGUGAGAUCAGCUGCAUGCAGCUGCAGAAGUGACCCCAGCACACAUGGGGAGCAAAAAAUAUAAACAAACAGUGAAUUAAGAGAAUUUAUAAAUGAUUGUUAUUAUUUUAAAACACUACAUUUUUGGGGGUGAUUUGUUAUUCAGCAACAGAUAGAGAAAUUGGCAUCUGGAGUAGCAUGUAAUCUUAACAAAAUGCAGAAACAUAUGGUACUGGCUUUAAGACUAGAUAGCAGGUUGGGGAUUGGAAGAGUGUCAAGAAGACUGCUAGUGGAGGCUGAAAGGUGAUUGUGGUAGACGGAAUAAUGCUCCCCUACCUCAAGAUAUCCACAUCCUAAUCCCCAGAAACUAUGGAUAUGUUACCUUACAUGGUAAAAGGGACUUGGCAGAUGUGAUUAAGGUUCUUGAGAUGUAGAGGUUACCUUGGGUUAUCCAGAUGGGCCAAUAUAAACACAAGGGUCCUUAAAGUGGAAGAGGGAUACAUAAGAGGAGGUCAGAGUGAUACGAAAUUAAGACUCUGUUGCUGGCUUUGCAGAUGGGCGAGGGGAACCACAAGCCAAAGACUGUGGGCAGCCUCUAGAAGCUGGAAGAGGCAAGGGAACAUAUUCUUCUCUAAGAGCCUCCAGAAAGGAAUAUUGUUCAGCCAACAUCUUGAUUUUAUUCCUGUGAGAUCAGUGUUGUGCUUCUAACCUACAGAACUAUAUAAUAAUAAAUUUGUGUUGGUUAAGCCUGCUAAGUUUCGUGUUAUACUACACAAGCAGGAGAAACAUAAUACAGGUGGUUAGAAGGCUAUUAGCCUUGAAGAAUAGUAAACAGACUCUUAGUAGAGGGUGGAAAAAGUCAGUAAGGAAAUUAUUAAAUGGGGGAAAAUGUAGGACCUGAGUUAUAUGGUAACAGAAUGCUUGGCAAUACUUCUGCCUGCCAUAACAAAGAACAUAGAAAGUGAACUUGGUGAGUUUAUAGAUCUCUUAAGGAGAUUUCCAGGCAGAGUGAUGAAAGUACCAAUUAACUUUGUACAGCUACGGAUGAUAAUGUACAAGAAGAGAGAAAUGAGCUAACGAAGGAACUGUUCAAUUUAAAAGAAGAGUUUAAAGGAAAUAUUUCCAACCCAGUGCUUUCCUUUUCUUAGGAAAAAGGAAGAAUGACUGGCGGGCAGAGCCAGAAUCCCAGAGGGAGGAGCCAAGAAGCAAGAAAAUCUGGACUGAGAGAAGCCACCCCCAAGUAGCUGCACCUGAGGAACAAUACCUGAGGCAUUUUCUCCACAUCUGGACCUGAUUUAGAUGAUAAGAGAUUGAACUUAAACUAAUGUCAUCAUGGGACGAGACUUUUAGGGUACGGGGUUUCUUGGGCUUCUACAUAGACAGCUCUAUCAUCUGUGAAUAGAGACUGUUUUGUUUCUUCCUUCCCAAUAGCAGCGGGACACAAAGAUGCCAACCAGUCCAUACAGAAGUAUGCAGAGGAAUCACCUGUGUCACAGCCCAUGAGGACAACCAGUGACAGGUCAGAGAUGGUUGGCCAACGGCUAAAGGCCAAGCAAAUGCCCUGGGGCAGGGUAGGCAUACCAGCAGGUCACUAGUAAUGAUAAA